UUUAAUCGAAAGCUGAUGUUUAUCAUGUGGUCACAUAUAAAUUUUAUUGAUAUCUGAUAACUACUUUUUGAGUAAUCUUUGAUAACGCGUAGUUACUUGACUAUUUUUUCGUCGAUCUACGUUGUAUUACUUGUCCAUGUAAUUGAAGUCGUUUACAUCGACGUACCUUUUUUUCGUUUGCGAGCAAACAUAAUUAUAUUACCUACUUUUAAUUUUAAGUUACUUUUUUUACACGUUAUCAGUGUCUUACACCUUUCGAUAACCGUCUGUAAAGAUGUAUAUAUUUAAAACAGUAUGUAGUUUAAAUUAUUAUGUAUUAGAAAAAAAAAUCCAAUAUGUUAACAAAAAAUACAAAAAAAAAUAUCUAAAGGCAAUGCCCACUGUCGUUCUUCUUUUUUACUAGACUGUAAAAUAUUUACGAGUAAAUACAUGAAAUUUGUAAAUUUUAUAUUCAAAAUUAAUUUAUGAUAUAAAAAAAAUGUAUUAAUAUAAUGUUUCAACCAACACUGUUUAAAAAAAAAAUAGGUUUGAGCUUGAGUGGAUGUGUAACAGUACAAAUAAUAAUAUUUUUGCAAUAAAGUGUAAUUAUAAUAUUAAUAUCUAGCAUAAUUAAAAUACUAACAGGUAUAUUUAUUGUGGAUAAAAUACAGGAUUCCAAGCUCCGAUUUUUAAAAAAUUAAAAACAA
rnacentral:misc_RNA from 1 species